GAGUUUUGAUCAUGGCUCAGAGCGAACGCUGGCGGCAGGCUUAACACAUGCAAGUCGAACGGUCCUUCGGGACAGUGGCGGACGGGUGAGUAACACGUGGGAACGUGCCCUUAGGUUCGGAAUAACACAGGGAAACUUGUGCUAAUACCGGAUGUGCCCUUCGGGGGAAAGAUUUAUCGCCUUUGGAGCGGCCCGCGUCUGAUUAGCUAGUUGGUGAGGUAAAGGCUCACCAAGGCGACGAUCAGUAGCUGGUCUGAGAGGAUGGCCAGCCACACUGGGACUGAGACACGGCCCAGACUCCUACGGGAGGCAGCAGUGGGGAAUCUUGCGCAAUGGGGGGAAACCCUGACGCAGCCAUGCCGCGUGGAUGAUGAAGGUCUUAGGAUUGUAAAAUCCUUUCAGCGGGGACGAUAAUGACGGUACCCGCAGAAGAAGCCCCGGCUAAC
rnacentral:rRNA from 1 species